rnacentral:tRNA from 2 species
GCCGAGAUAGCUCAGUUGGUAGAGCAGUGGACUGAAAAUCCUCGUGUCACCAGUUCAAAUCUGGUUCUUGGCA